AGAGUUUGAUCAUGGCUCAGAGCGAACGCUGGCGGCAGGCCUAACACAUGCAAGUCGAACGAAGUCUUCGGACUUAGUGGCGGACGGGUGAGUAACACGUGGGAACGUGCCUUUAGGUUCGGAGUAACUCAGGGAAACUUGUGCUAAUACCGAAUGUGCCCUUCGGGGGAAAGAUUUAUCGCCUUUAGAGCGGCCCGCGUCUGAUUAGCUAGUUGGUGAGGUAAAGGCUCACCAAGGCGACGAUCAGUAGCUGGUCUGAGAGGAUGAUCAGCCACAUUGGGACUGAGACACGGCCCAAACUCCUACGGGAGGCAGCAGUGGGGAAUCUUGCGCAAUGGGCGAAAGCCUGACGCAGCCAUGCCGCGUGAAUGAUGAAGGUCUUAGGAUUGUAAAAUUCUUUCACCGGGGACGAUAAUGACGGUACCCGGAGAAGAAGCCCCGGCUAACUUCGUGCCAGCAGUCGCGGUAAUACGAAGGGGGCUAGCGUUGCUCGGAAUUACUGGGCGUAAAGGGAGCGUAGGCGGACAUUUAAGUCAGGGGUGAAAUCCCGGGGCUCAACCUCGGAAUUGCCUUUGAUACUGGAUGUCUUGAGUGUGAGAGAGGUAUGUGGAACUCCGAGUGUAGAGGUGAAAUUCGUAGAUAUUCGGAAGAACACCAGUGGCGAAGGCGACAUACUGGCUC
rnacentral:rRNA from 1 species